rnacentral:rRNA from 1 species
GACGAACGCUGGCGGCGUGCUUAACACAUGCAAGUCGAACGGAAAGGCCUUUUCGGUGGUACUCGAGUGGCGAACGGGUGAGUAACACGUGGGUGAUCUGCCCUGCACUCUGGGAUAAGCCUGGGAAACUGGGUCUAAUACCGGAUAGGACCGCACUUUAGUGUGUGUGGUGGAAAGUUUUUUCGGUGUAGGAUGAGCCCGCGGCCUAUCAGCUUGUUGGUGGGGUAAUGGCCUACCAAGGCGGCGGCGGGUAGCCGGACUGAGAGGUUGGUCGGGCACAUUGGGACUGAGAUACGGCCCAGACUCCUACGGGAGGCAGCAGUGGGGAAUAUUGCACAAUGGGCGCAAGCCUGAUGCAGCGAAGCCGCGUGGGGGAGGACGGCCUUCGGGUUGUAAACUCCUUUCGCCAGGGACGAAGCGUUUUGUGACGGUACCUGGAGAAGAAGCACCGGCUAACUACGUG